rnacentral:rRNA from 1 species
UACGUAGGGGGCAAGCGUUGUCCGGAUUUAUUGGGCGUAAAGAGCGUGUAGGCGGCUUGGUAGGUCCGCUGUGAAAACUCGAGGCUCAACCUCGAGAUGUCGGCGGAAACCACUUGGCUAGAGUCCGGAAGAGGAGAGUGGAAUUCCCCGGUGUAGCGGUGAAAUGCGCAGAUAUCGGGAAGAACACCCGUGGCUAAGGCGGCUCUCUAGUACGGUACUGACGCUGAGACGCGAAAGCGUGGGGAGCGAACAGG